AAGUAAUAUGAGAAUGAUACUCGAUAGAUGCUCGUCUAGUGGAUUUUUUUAAGGAAAAAAAAGGGAGGGGGUUUUAGCCGUUAGGCGAGACAUAUGUAGUAUUGCGAUGCAAAUGUCUCGAGUCCGGCACUCCCCUAGGGUACGGGCCCUAGGGGGUCUUUUGAAGAUUUCCUAAAAAAAA
rfam:Trachymyrmex cornetzi contig32414, whole genome shotgun sequence.